UCAUGACGUCGGCGACGAGCAUUCAGAAUAGGAAUUGUGUAAGGGGGCGGAAUGUGAUGCCUCGUUGUUUUGAGGUGUGGAGGAUGGGGACGAGCAUGAGGACUAGAAUCGAGAAUAGGAGGGCAAGUACGCCGCCGAGUUUGUUCGGGAUCGAUCGUAGAAUGGCGUAAGCGAAUAAGAAGUAUCACUCUGGCUUAAUGUGUGGAGGGGUGACGAGGGGGUUUGCAGGUGUAAAAUUGUCUGGGUCCCCUAGUAGGUUAGGUGUAAAGAGUGCAAUGCAUGUAAGGCCUAGUAGUAGGGCUACGAAACCUAGGAGGUCUUUAUAGGAGAAGUAGGGGUGGAAGGAGAUCUUGUCUGCAUCGGAGUUAAUGCCGGUGGGGUUAUUAGAGCCUGUUUGAUGUAGGAAAAUCAGGUGAACCAUGGUCAUAGCAGCGACAACAAAUGGGAACAAGAAGUGGAAUGCGAAGAAACGAGUGAGCGUUGCGUUGUCUACGGAGAAGCCACCUCAAAUUCAUUGAACUAGAGUGCCACCAACAUACGGAACAGCAGAGAGUAGGUUUGUAAUGACAGUAGCACCUCAAAAGGACAUUUGUCCUCAGGGAAGAACAUAGCCAACAAAGGCAGUCAUCAUUACUAGAAGGAGAAGAAUAACACCUACAUUUCAUGUCUCUUUAUAGAGGUAGGAUCCGUAGUAUAGUCCUCGUCCAAUGUGUAUAUAAAUACAGAUGAAGAAGAAAGAGGCACCGUUAGCGUGCAUGUUUCGGAUUAGUCAGCCGUAGUUGACGUCUCGACAGAUGUGGUUGACUGAUGAGAAAGCUGUGUCGAUAUCUGAGGUGUAGUGUAUUGCCAGGAAGAGGCCAGUAGCGAUUUGAAUAAUUAGGCAGAGUCCGAGGAGUGAGCCGAAGUUUCAUCAGACUGAGAUGUUGGAGGGGGCAGGGAGGUCUGCAAGGGCAUCAUUUGCAAUUUUUAAUAGCGGGUGCGUUUUUCGUAGGCUGGUCAUUAACUGUUCCUGUAGUUGAGUUACAACGGUGGUUUUUGAGUCAUCGGUCUCUGUUUAAAACUGGGCAAGAAUU
rnacentral:tRNA from 1 species